rnacentral:lncRNA from 1 species
CCCGUUUCCCCGCUUACUGCUUAUCCCGCAUUCUAUUAUAAUUAUGUGAAUCGUCGGUGAGGUUACAAAAUGAAUUAGAACACUUAGUUCCGAGAUUUAAAGCUUAAGUUGAAAUAGUUGACCAGAUGUUAACUUAUGCGUAAACGACCCUGGAAUAGAGUUUUGAUGAUUCCAAUAGCUCCGUAUGGUGAUUUUGGACUUAGAAGCGUAUCCGAAAAAUUAUUUGGGCGUCCUUAGUUAAAUUAGGCAUGGAUUGGCUAAAGUGGAAAUUUAAGUUUGGAAGUUUGACCGGGGAGUUGAAUUUUUGAUAUCGGGGUCGGAAUCCGAUUCUAGAAAUUGGAAUACGACCGUUAUGUUAUUUAUGACUUGUGUGCAAAAUUUGAGGUCAAUCGGACUUGAUUUCAUAGGUUCCGACAUCGAAUGUAGAAGUUAAAAAUUCUUAGUUUCAUUAAGCUUGAAUUGGGGUAUAAUUCGUGAUUUUAGCGUUGUUUGAUGUGAUUUAGAGGUUCGACCAAGUUCGUAUGAUAUUUUAGGACUUGUUGGUGUAUUUGGUUGAGGUCCCGUGGGCCUUGGGUGAGUUUCAGAUGUUUAACGGAUCAAAUUUGGACUUAGAAUAAUUAAAACUUGUUGUUGCCUACUAAUGCAAUCUCACCUGAGGAAAUGGGCUCGCAUGUGCAAGUUCGCAGAAGCGAGCCUGGGAGUGCAGAAGCGGUAAAGGGAGAGUGGGCAAUGGCCGAAGGUGCGAGGGAAAAUUCCACACGUGCGUGAUCGCAGAUGCGGACGGAUGGGCGCAGAAGCGCAAGCUCCGCAGAAGCGGAUUGAGCCUCGCAAAUGCGAGCCCGCAGAAGCAGCUUUUGGGGUGCAGAAGUGGAGGCACUGAAGGCCUUAGCAAACCGCAGAAGCGGUUGGUUUCUGGCACCUGCGAGGCCGCAGAAGGAGCUAAGUGAGUCACAGGUGCGGAACCCCUGGGCAGUAUACAUUUCGAAGGGGUUCUGAAUUUUUACCAUUUUUGGACAUUUCCAACACGGUUUUGGGGCUAUUUUNNNNNNNNNNNNNNNNNNNNNNNNNNNNNNNNNNNNNNNNNNNNNNNNNNNNNNNNNNNNNNNNNNNNNNNNNNAAUUAUAGGAUUUGGGCCUAGGGAUUUGAAAAUGAUAUUUAGGGAUUUGAAGGUCGAGUUGUUGUCGGAAUUUGAUAAAUUUGUAUGGUUGGACUCGUGGUUGAAUGAGCAUUCAUAUUUUAUAACUUUUGUUGGGUUCCGAGACGCGGGCCCCACGGAUAAUUUUUGAGUACAAUUUUGAAUUUUGUUGGAAAAUUAAUAUUUUUAUAUGGAAUUAAUUCCUAUAAUUUGUGUUGACUGAAUCGAAUUAAUUGUGACUAGAUUCGAGUCGUUCGGAAGUUGAUACGCGCAUAAUGAAAUUUCUGGAGCAUUGUUAGCUUGCUCGAUAUUGGACUCGGCUUGUUCAAGAUAAGUAACUCUUCUAAUCUUGGAGCUGAGGGCAUGAACCCUGAUUAUACGUGUUAUGUAUUUGGUGUUGAGGUGACACACAUGUUAGGUGACGGGCGUGUGGGCAUGCACCGUGUUAACUGUGACUCCAUUAUUUCUUGGUACUGUGUAGUUACCUGAACUUAUCUGUAAUCAUGAAAUCUCUACGUACUAGAAUUAUCGAGCUGUAAUUCAUGUUAGAAACCAUAUCCAGACUAUAUACUUAUCUUGUUGGGACCUAUUGUGGUCAUUACUACUGUUGAGUUAUUUGCUUACAUUGCAAUUUCAUAUCUCAGUCUCUGUUGUUAUUUAUUGAUACAUCAUAUCAUUAUUUUUGGGCUAGUUUCAUGACAAUUGUGUGCCCAAGAGACUGGAGAGAUUGAUGACUGAGUGAGACCGAGGGCCUGAUUUUAAGUUAUUGAUACUAUAACACGUGAGUUGUCCGUGCGGAUUUAGAUAUUGAUACUAUAGUACGUGAGUUGUCCGUGCAACACGUGAUUUGUCAGUGUGGAUCCAGAUAUUGAUACUAUAGCACGUGAGUUGUCUGUGCGGAUUAUAGCACUUGGGCUGAAGGAGCCCCUCCGGAGUCUGCACACACCCCUAGUGAGCGCAGGUACCUACUGAGUGCGAGUGCCGAGCGAUUGGGAGGACUGAGCGAAAUGAUACUCUGAGAGUAUACAUAUGGUUUUAUUACUGAGUUGUAUCGCAUUGACAUGCACACUUGACAUACAGUCAUAGAGAUGUAUUUUUCUCAUGCUAUACGAUAUUGCGUCAUUCAUGACUUCACAUGUACAUUUACUUGUAGGCAUAUAGAUGUACUUUUCCUCAUGCCAUUUGAUAAUAGGACGUUUACCUGUUGAACAAUUUUGGAAGGACAAAUCACAAUUUUGCAAACUUACUCAUAUUUUGGUGUUUUCGGUAAAAGAUUUGGGUUUUCACUUUUAUACUUGAAAAACAUGUCUAUUUUCUGGAACUGUGAACGAGCUGAACAUUUUAUUUAUGAGUUAUUUCAUGUACCACUUUUGUUAUAUUGUUAUGAGCUGUUGUUGGACUUGACCGUGUUCCAGCUCGUCACUACUUUCAACUAAGGUUAGGUUUGUUACUUAUUAAGUACAUGGGGUCGGUUGUAAUUAUACUACACUUUUGCACCUCACAUGCAGAUUUUUGAUGUUGAUGUUCUGCGUACGACGGGAGAUGGAUGUGAAAAUGUACAUGCGUUCCAGCCAUUUGCUGCCUCUUGUUCAUGGUAGCUUUAGAAUUUUUAAUCUGUUCAUGUAUAUUUCAGACAUAUGAUGUAUUUUUAUGUCACACCAGUUUUAUAAUUUUUAGUCUUAGAAGCUCAUGAUUUGUACUACCAGUCCUUGGGGAGUGUAUUAAAGUCAGUUAAAUAUUAAUCGAAUUGGAUAGUUAUUAAUUGGCUUACCUGACAAGUUGGGUUAUGUGCCAUCACGACUAGGUAGAUUUUGGGUCAUGACAAAAAUAUUCCCAAAUGUAUUCUUACUCCAGUUGAUAACAUUAUGUUUGAAAAAUUGAGUGGCUUCUGCGAAUUCCUUACCCUGCCAACUAUUAUAAACAAUUGAGGUAAAAUCAGGAUGAGUGCACCAAUAGGAUUCUAAAUGGAAUGAUCUAUCUAUAGGUCUGGUAUGUGGUUGGGUGAGAUUAACAAGGAGUGGGUUAUGGUCAGAGUGUGUUUUUGGGAGGUGCAAGACUGAUGCCUGGGGGUACUGUUGUAGCCAUGCAUCAUUGGCCAAACAACGAUCAAGCCUUUCUAAUAUUAAACCAUGACUUCUCCUUCUAUGAUUUGACCAAGUGUAACGACUGCCUUUAAAUCCUAGGUCAAUGAGAUAUAGUAAUUAAUAGAGGCCCAAAUCUUAGAUGAUCUAGAUCUAUUUAACGGUCUACCCCCCCAUCUCUUCUUGACUCAUAAUGUCGUUGAAGUCGCCUCUCAUAAACCAGGGGCCCCUAUAAUUAUCGUAAAUAGUUCUAAUGUGAUCCCAUAGUAGACUACGAUUUACCACUAACGUACUAGCGUAAACAGUACUAAGUAACCAAGGUUGGUAGUUGGACUUUACCUGGAUCAUGGCUUCAAUGUCUUGAGGGGACUGAGAUAUACGGGUGACAGCCACAACAUUAUCUUGCCAAAGGAUAACUAGACCUCCCGACCUACCUUGGGCAGGGACUUCGAUCACGUCAGACAAGUUGAAGUCGUCUCUUAGAGUAGUAUGACUUUCCAUCCUAGUUUCUAGAAGAGCGACCAUGCAGGGAUUAUACGUGUUAAUUAAUUCCCUGAAGUUGUGCCUAAAAUUGUCAUUAUUGACUCCCUUAAUGUUCCAGAUGACAAAGCUUGUGGGUCUAUUCAUGGUUUGGGGAUUUGUUUGAUGAGAUAAAUUAUUCUGGCUCUACAGUAGAGGGAAUUGGAAGCCUCUCAAGGAUGAACUCAUCACUACUGCAUAUUUUGCUAUCGCAGUGUUGAGAGGUAGACGAAUGUGGAGGGAGAACUUGUAGAGAGCUAUGGGGUAGCGGUGUAUGUAUUUUUUGUCCUCCAAUUCUGGGAAUAUCAUAAGGGCUGCUCUUCGCAGACUUGAGAUUUCUGUGAAGAGGUUAUGUGCGCUUCCAUUUCUCCUUGUGCUUGUGGAGGAGCAGGUUGUGGAUUGUCCAUCUGCAUGGGCAUCUGGGGUGUUUGUGGAGCUUGGGUUUGUUGAGGUUGCCAUGGAAAGAACAAGGGAUUUGUGUUGAUUGUCUCAUGUGGAGUGAAAAAGGGUAGGUUGAAGACUUGAUUCAUGUUUAGGAGAAGGUUGAAGUGAUGUGGUAGUGUCCAUUGGGCAUGCAUGUUGUAGAAGAGAGUUGGGGCUAUUGCCGGAGCUAAUGGGUCUAGAACAUUGGCCAUCCACAUGUGAUUCAUGUAGUUGUCCAUUGCUAGUAUUAUUCCCUCGGUUAUCAGUUGUGCAAGGAAGUUUUGGUUUUGGAUGAUAAAAAUUAUCUCCUGUCCAUUGAUGCUUAGAUUGAAGAACACUGCUUGUCCUUGCAUGCCCUGCCCGAUCCACGAUAGAGGUGGUUCAGAAGGUGGGAUUGUUUGGGUUGCAUACACUGGGAUGUUGGGUGCAAUUAGUGGGGGAAGUGGUGUCGGAAACAGUGGAGGUGGUGGUGCUCGGUUGUCCAUUGAGGGGUUUCGAGUUAACUGAUGAGUUAGAAGGACUAGUCAAUUUGAUCUCCUGUUUAGGGGAAUUAAUAAGCCCGUCAUUAUGAGGUGAAAGAAGGGCGUGGGGAUCAGGGUAUGAUAGGGAAUCAGUAGGGAUAGAUUUGGUUUGCAUGGGAGAAAUAAUAUGAGUAUAUGUAAGGUUAAAUUAUAGUGUAUCAACUUGCAUGUCUACUUGUCCAAUAGGAUUUGCCAAGUGUUGAAUGCAUGCAUUGGAUGGAAUGGAUAUAUUGGCGGCGCAGAUGGUUUUAGUGGUCUCUAAAGGAGGUUUAUUAGUAAUAACUGAGCUGUCAUUACUAGUAGUAGGGGAUAAUAUCAUUACAUCACUAUUAGGGCCUAUUGGUGGGGAAAUAUCAACCUUAGCCACGUUUUGGCCAUAUGACGGAACGUUAAGAGUUGGUUCUUUUGGAAUUAACAAAGGCGAGGGUGAGUGGGCGCGCGUGGAGGGAGCAACGAUUGGAGUUCCCUGGGAAUAAUUAGAAUAUUCUUCCUGCAUGGGAAGGGUCGAAAAUUUAUUAUGUGUUUGGAUUUUGAACUGUUGGUGAUAUAUGACAUGUGAACCUUUGUUAUUAAUGUGAUCACUAUUAUUGCUAAGACUCAGAGAUGAAGUAAUUGCUUUUGGUUUAAAAUUUAACUUUUGGGUAUUAAUGUACUUACCUGAUGUUGCCUCAUAAAUCAUAACAUUAAUACCUUCAUUAAUAGGUAUGGUAGAUUGAUCCUGGUUCACUCUUUGUUCCUGGUUAUACCUGCGCAAGAGACCCUUCUUUUUCCUUGAAAAGGACAUUGUAAGCCAUUCCUGUUUGGUGUCCCUAUUGUCUAGUAUUUUGGAUGGUGGGCAUGAUCCUCUUAUGUGGUCGGUGAGGAUUUGUUUUCCCUUCUCUAGUAGGUUUGGACAAUGUUGUCGAGUGUGACCAAUUUUGCCGCAUCCUUUAUAAAAUAGAUAUUCACUUUCAUACACUAUAGGCUGCUUGUGAGAACCGAUGUAUAUAUGCGAUUUAACUGGAUGUUCUAACGGGACUUCAACACAGAGCCUUGUGUAUCUACCUCUCAGAGUAGCACUAGUGCAAGCAUCAAUCUUUAGGAGUCUUCCAAUCAAAUUACCGAUCUUUUUAAGGAUCGUUCCAUCAUAGAAUUUUGUUGGUAAUUCUGGUACUCUUAGCCAGACGGCGGAUAAUGUUUGUUUAGCUUGGCUGGCAACGAAGUUGGUUUCCCAUUUUUGUACUAUUAAGUAGUAUCCAUUAAUGAAUCAGGGUCCUUGUUGCAACGCUUUGUGAGGAGCUUGUCUUUGAAGCUUGGUGAAGGAUUCAAGGAAGUUGAUGGACUAGAUAUAUCUAGUGGCUUCGGGGGAACGGGAAGGGUGCGCAUCUGUGAAGGAUUGUCAAGGAUUGGAUUGGUCAUUGAACAAGGCGUGAAGAAGGUGUUGAUGAGUUGAGAGAAGGGAGGGAGUUUCUCUCUUAAGACCUGUUACGUAAAAAUCAUUCAAUUUUAUGUUCAUUACCCAAAAAUUAUUUUUCUUUCUUUUAUUACACAAAAAUUAUUUUACUAUGCUCUAGUUAUCACAAUAGUCACUUUGACCAGAUUUUACAAACCUUUCACCUAAAAAGUCUAUUAUGCCCUUGACAUUAUAAAUCUUCCCAUUUAUGCAAUACCUUAUAUAUUAUAUGCUAUGUAAUGUACUUUUACCCAGAAAUUAUACAUAUAAGUAAAAUAACUUAAUAUUAUUUUAUUUAUUAUUUUUAUAAUAUAUUCAUACAUUUAAUUUUUUCUUAACAUUAAUUUUUAAAAUAUAUUAACAUUAUUAAAUUUGUCGGUAACAAUUGCCGUGAACAAAUCUCAAGUCCACGUUCUUAACCAUGCUUAAUAAAAUAUUUUUAAUAAAAAUUAUAAAAUCAAAGCUCACUGGUUUAUCAGCCAAACCAUACCCAUUAAUCCAAUAAAUAAAAUACUUACAUUUAGCACAAUGACACAUCGGAUUAAUACUUUUAAAUAAAUAAUAUUAACAGAUAAAGCUUUAAAAAACUUAAUAUUAAACAAAAAUAUCUUUGAAACUUUUUCUAAAAUUCUUAUUAACUAUAAAAAAAACUAUCAUUUGUUAAAAAAAAUCUAUUUUUAUUAUUUCAAAUAAAUAUUAAAAGAUAAAUAUUUUUAUUGUUUUUAUAUUUAAAAUAUGUUCAUGUUUGAAUAUGAUUAAACAAAUUGAGUGCCAUGAAAAAAUUAAAUCGAUGGAAAUAUUAUAAAAAUAAUAAAUAAAAUAAUAUAAAGUUAUUUUAAUUAUAAGUAAAAUACCUAGAUGAAAAUAUAUUAAAUAGUAUCUAAUAUGGAAAGUGUUACGUAAGUGAGAGGAUUUAUAAUGUCAAGGGCAUAAUAGACUUUUCAAAUAAAGUAUUAUCAAAUCUGGCUAAUGUAACUUUUGUGAUAAAUAGAGCAAAGUAAAAUGAUUUUUGUGCAACAAAAGAAAGAAAAUUGACUUUUGAGUAAUGAAUACAAAAUUGAAUGAUUUUUACGUAACAAAAAGAAGAAAAAAUGACUUUUGCGUAAUGUAUUCAAAGUUGAAUAACAAAAUUUCUCAGAAGUUCAAGUUGGUAACAUGUGUGCAAAUGUAAGAUGGGCCAUAUUCGGAGCAAAUGAACUCAGGUUAGGCAGCCCACGUCUCAAAUUUUUUUUUUUGCUAAUAGGGUCUUUUUCCCCCUUCAUUUGUAUGAUAUCUCGUUGAUAAUGUAUUCUCAAGGCACCUGCUUCAUUGAGAUUCAGUAACUAAUUGAAGAAAUUACACCAAUAGCCCUCCCCUGUCCCAGAGUUUUCAUUAAUUUUGUGAAUGCUUAUAUUGCUUGUAGUGAGAUAACUUGUGUCAUUGGUUGGUCUUGAUAUAUGCUUUAUAAUGGAGUACAUAAUAUUUUUUGUCAAUAUAUAAUCCUUCACCCCCAAUUAAUUCUUGGCUGUUACCUACUUUGUAUAUGCAACUCAAUUGGACUCAAUGUGGUACUGAAAGCCAAUAUUAAUGUGACAGGGCGUGGUAAACAGGGAGAGGGUAAGAAUCUUGAUAAUGCAAGAAAGAGAAGGAUUUUGCAGAUGCAGAUAUGAAUCUGUAACUCAGAUUUGUGUCUCCUUAAGCGGACAAAAGAAACAGAGAAACCAGUAGUGGAGAAAAAAAAAAGUACUGAGGUAGAGAGGACCGCGAGUAGGAUCUUGCGGCUUAUUACAUGCUAUAAGUAGAUAAGGGUUCAAAGCAAGAAGCAGAAGUGCAGAGGCCAACAGUUGCUCUAUGAUCUGGGCAUUCUUAUGGGAAAACCACUCACAGCCUUAACAACCCUCCUCUCUUCAACAUUAUUUAUGAAAGCCUGAAACGCGGUGUAAAUAAAUCACACACCAAUUUGUGUAACAAAUUGUUUGGUACGUGUCAUGACCUUAGAAUUGAACAUGUAAGUUUGUCCUAAAUAGAAGAGGGAAGGCUAAUAUAAGUGGUCCAUGCUAGAGAUGCCAGUGUGCUACCUUAAUAUCUACCUACUUUUUCCUAUUCAGUCCAAUGAGCGUUUACAACAGCCUUUUUCGAAAUAACACUAGUAAACUAUCACUAAUUCUCAUGACUUAAUUGUUUUCUUAAAAUGAGCCAUUAUGAACAUGGGGUUAAUUUAAUUCAAUAACGAUAUACGUGAGAUUUUUAAUCUAGUUCGUAUUAAUUAAAAAAUCAGCUUUUAAAGCUAUCAGAAAGAAUUAAAAAUUUCGGUUUGCUACCAUUUUAUAUACAAUACUUAGUUAAUUUCUUUUGCAUAUACUGCCUGCGUGGCAUAUUAUCAUUUAAGCAAACAAAUAAGAAAUUGCAAAAGAUUAUUCCUAGUAUGGACAUGUAAAAAAGCUUUGCGCCAUAUGAUAAAGAUUAAAUAAACUUCAUGUGCGCUUCGAGAUUAAAAAGUUUCUCACACGAUUUAAAAAUCCGCCUAUUAUUUCUUACUACAAUAAUACAGGAUCGGAGGCUAAUUAAGUGGAUAAUUCAUUAACUAGUAAUUAGCUUAUUUUAAAUGUUCUAAACCAAUUAUAUCAACAGUUUAGCACCCUUUGUAGCUGUAGCAUUCUAAAACCAUGGCCAGAGCCCCUUACAAUAUGGAGUACGACAGAGAAGCCGAAACUCAAACUGCGUGAGCUACCAAAAGCUAGUUAUAGGUUUGUGUGAACAAGAAGAUCAUGCUUGUAAUUACAGAUAGUGAAAUAGAUCUACAAGACUAGAAUACCAAAAUUUCUUACUCAUGGGCUUAGCACAGCGCCGACCUGGCCACGGCAACUGACAACUGGGGGAUGUUCUGAACAAAUAAAGCUCUCCACCUCACAGCCAAAGUAGAUGGGGGCAUAAGGUCUCUCAGCUUUCUAGAUUUGCAGUAAAAACAGAAGAAAACCUCAUCAUUUAACGGAAGAGAAUCUGAGUCGCGACCUAGCUAGCCACCUAAGGUGGGUUUUUUUUUGGGGGGGGGGGACCGCAGGUCUAAAGUCGAUAUGGUCCCCUCUAUCUACCUAGCGGAUUGUAUAUCUUAGUCGUACGAGGUGCAAAAUAUUCGAUUUCGAUGGCUUAGUAUAGGCGGCUGAUCCAGAUCCAGCAACAGCGACGUCGAGAAAAUGGAUCGGGUUUAAUUAAUUGGUACCGGAUCGGAGCAAUAUUGGGAUACCGGAUUCCUUUGCUAAUAUGGACUACUGUUUAAGAGCAGACAUGGUGGAUUUUGGAGCUCUCUGACCCAGAUUUCUCCCCCUGCAUGGAAAUUGAAUUCUGGGGAUUUGUGCAUAACCCCUGCCUACAAAAUAUACUCCACUCUCUCGUCUUUCCAUAUUUUUCCGUAUUUGCUUGUAGGUCUAAUAAGCUAGUAUUUAUUAUUUAUUAUAGCAGAACAGAGAUCUGAAUAUGAUUACCUUAAACUAAUUUGAGAUUGAAAUGUAUGGAUUGAUAUUUGACAAUUUAAUUGUAGAAGAGUCCUUCAACGUCUUUGAUGUGUGGUUAGAUAUUUUAGGAGUAUCUCUAGCAACUUAAGAAUGGGGGGCAUAUGCAUCUUAUGUCGAGAUGGAAUAUUUCAGGAUAUACUAAGGGGAUUAGCUAUCCCACAAUUUUAAUGAAAAAUUUACUCCGAAAUUAGUUAAUACCUAUUGUUUGAUCAAAAAGUAUAACUUUUGGUUGAAACUAUUAUUUGUAUGUAAUAAUGGAUUAAACCUAGUUAAUAAUAAUAUCUCCAUAUGCAAAUCCUCAGAGCGUGAAUAAGGUGGGACUGAUCCAAUAAGAGGUUGACAAUAACAAGCAUUAAAUAUUCAUAAAGUAUGAGCAAUAAUGGAAGAGUAACUUGUAAUAAAUAACAAUAGAAGACAUUUAAGUAAAUAUGGGGAGUGAUUCACCCAAUAAAGAAUAGAUUAGAUGAUUGUUCCCCUUGACAAUAAUGAGUGACUCUAAGACAGUUCGAAUUAUUCUCAGAUCUGAUGGAAAAAUGUGAAAUAAUAUUAACAAGGAUCUUAAUAAAAAAGUGACGUUUGUAUCUUUUCUAGAGAGAAAAUCUUUUUUCAGCCAAAAUAUUCUUAUCAGCUCCAUUUUACAUAACCCUUUGUCCUUAUCUUUUUCCUCAUUAUAUGUGAUACACCCCUGGUAAACCCUAAUAGUACAUGUACGGAGAAUAUUCUCCUGAAUUCCCUCUAUUGUCCUAUUCUAAAAACUAGCCGUUACGAGUUCUUCUGCAGACUUCGUCCUCGAUUGUUAUGAACAUCUCGACCACGAGUUUCGCCAUCUCCUGAUCGACCUCAACUGAUUUUUCCUCAAUGCCUUCUCGCCCUAAAUGUUCCGUAGUAAAUUUCGACUUAUACACCUAUAAUAAAUAUAAUCUCAAAUUCUAUCCCGAUAUUAUUAUCCUUAUCCCAUGUAUCAAACGGCCCUUAAAAAAAUUAGUACAGUACGUUGUUACUAAAAAGUUGUGUUAUAUUCUUCACUACGGAGGGUUAAUUAGCGUGAUAAGUUCAAAAAUUGAAAAGUAAAUAAUGCUCCAGUAAAUUGUAAGUACUUGAAGUUAGUUGAGAGUUGUGAAGGGUUUAUUUUCUUAAAGGUAGAUAGGGAUGCAGGACACAAGGACAGACAUUGUUUUUUUGUUUUAUUCCUUUACGGGCUAUACGAGUUACUGCAAAUAUUACAUGAACAGAGAGAAGUCGGCCUUUUUAGCGUUUCCAUUUACGAACAAAGAAUCAAUGACAAUCCCUAUAACAUAGCCUAAUCUUACUCACAGUACAUCAUUUGCCUUUGCUUUUUUGUCCUGCUCUUUUUAAUGUUCACCACCCACUUCAUUACGCACCUUUGAUUUUUUUUUUCCCACUCCUUUUUUAUUUCAUUCUUUUUUGUUUAUAUUGUGUUUAUUGUGCUGCAAAACAUUUUUCUGAAAACUAUUGUUCUUAAUGAAAUUACUUUUGAUUUUUUUAAAUAUUCAAUUACUAAAAAAGUUGAUAUCCAAUAAUUAGAAUAUGAUAGUUUCCUAUAAGGUAAUUGAAACAUAAAACAUACUCCAUUUUCCAUUAAAAAUGCUUUCGAUCCAUACCAAACACAUGAUUACUAUUUAUAUAUAUAAAUUGACGUGCAAGAAAAGAGGGUAGCUAGGAGUCAAUGCGUACACACACCCCUUGUUGGUUGAGGAUGUUAUUUUCUCAUCUUGAAAAAAAAUAUUGAAGCAAUGAUUUGCUGCUAAUAUAAGAAGAUCUUCUAGUUCUUUCUUCCUAGGAGAUACACUUUUCGGAUGAGUAUGCUAUUUUUUCAUAUUCAAAAAGAAUAUCACUGCAAUGAUUUCUUACUAAUAUAAGAUAGACUACUAAAACUAUAGCCUAUAGGCAAGGCAACAGCCUUUGAUACGAUAUUGCAAUAUUCUUGGUGUAGGGGGACCUCAAUCUCGCCCCGACUAUGAGUUAAACCAUUAGGUCUUUUUUUAAACUGUGUUUAUGCUGAUACUUGUUCUCUACUGACAAUACACAAUCAUCUCUUUCGGUUUUUUUAACAAAAGAAUUGGGGAAUAGAAGUCUUUGUUCGGAGUACAGUAAUAAAGGCUUUGAUUAACUUUAUCCUAAAGCAAACUUCUACUGUUGUUUUAAUUUCCUACGUAACAUUAACAACAUAUUUUAGAACUUAAGAUGACAGUGAGAGUUAAUAGCAAGAGCAAAUAGCAAGAAGUUGAAGAAUCAAAUCUCUUUAAUCUUUUAAGAUCAAGAAACAAUAAUAAUUCCUUUACUUAUUGAAUAAGGUAAAGAAGUCUUCUUAACAUCAAAGUUUAUCGACAAAAUUAGGGUAUAGUCGUCCUUGAAGUAUAUCCGUUAAUUCUCUUGAAUUAGGAGCACUUUUCUCUCAAAAUAGAAAAAAGUAGUGCCCUAUAAAAGUUGAAUUUCAGAGCACCUUCUGAUUUUAAUUUACCGAUUUUGCUUUAUAGGAUGUUUUUUUCUUCUUAGAAUUCAAGAAUUAAAACUUGAUUUUUUUAAAAAACAAUUGAUCUGUCGCCUGAAAAAUUACAAUAAUGAAAUUUGUACUAUAGAUAGUCAUUUUCCGGCAAAAUAAAUGUUUUUGUGAAUGUCACGUCUAACCCACAUAUUUUCUGGUUUAACCAUUCAUAAAUAUUUCAUGGAUAUUGAAAAAUGAAUAAUUACACUUGGCUAUUAAAACUGUAUAGAGAUGAUAAGCAAUUCUAAUUCUGAAAUGUCUUAAAAGAAACAAUCGAGAAGUGUUCGCUCAAAGAGGAAAUGUUUUCAGUAACUAGCGAUCAUAAAUAAAUAAAUAAAAAACUUAAAUCUACCAGAAAUAACUGUUAAGCUAUUGUACUGUCACUUUCCUGGUUCUGCUAAGAGUGAAAAAAGAAGUGGAAAUAUCACAUCUUAUGUAUGUAUAAAGACACAUAUUUCUAGCAGAUAAACACAUUAGACCAUGUUCCUCUCAUUUCUCAGCUGUAGUCUCUAGUUGGUUUUCUCUGCACAGAAACACCUUUUUUACUGCCCCCUACACCCCCAACCCCCCCCCCCCCAAAUUCUAGGCUUCAUCUUCUUAAAGUAGUACUACUGUUCCAUUGAAGAUGGCUACUUCUCUUCAGUUUACUUCAGAUCAUCAGUACCCAAUAAACCUUAGUAUUUCUCAACAAGAUCAUCAUCAAACAAAGCCUAGCGCUGAAACAAUGAACCAACAGACUGGACGUAGUAGAAGGUCCAAAGGAGGAGCAAACAAAUCCUUAACACAGAAGAAGAAACAGUCCCAAAGAGGCAUGGGUGUGGAAAAACUUGAACGGCUCAGAUUACAAGAGCUAAUUUCUUCAAAAACAAAUCCACUUCAGUUUCCCAAAUUGUAUGGUGGUGUCAACCAAGUCAUGGCCCCUGAUUUCUUGCUUCAUCAAAGGGUUGCAAAUAGUGGAUCUAGCACUUAUGGACCAGCUCAUGUUACAUUUGGAGAUCAGUUGAUUUCUGGGCAUGAUCAGUUUCAAACUCAAAUGGGUCUAAACGGAUUUGCAACUUCUAAACCCAACCAGCUUUUUCAUGCUGUUUCCCAUACUGAGAAAUCUAAAGAGCUUUCUUCACUGCCAAAUUUGAUGAGCAUCAAGUCAUCAUGUUUCUCCGAUCGCUGCAGUUCAUGCAACAAAGUAUAAUGCCCUUUGAUUUUUUUGUUCAUUUAAAGUUUGAUUUAGUUUAUUUAUGUUUUCUUUUCCUCCUUAAUCGUCAGAAGAAGCGCAUGAUUAAUGGAGAGGAUAUGGGACGUUCUAACACAGAGGCUGGCAUUGUUCAUAUGGAAAACGUGUUAGGAGAAAACCAAUAUUUUGGAACAAAGCCUUUGCUUCACCCAUUCUCAAUACCUAGUCAUCUUGAAAAGGUAAAGAAACAAAAAUGCUACCCUAAUAUUUUUCCCUCUUACUCAAAGAUAAAAUAAAAUGUAGCAGUUCUUCUUCAACGUUUUUAUUAUUCCUCCUCCAUUUUAAUGGAAAUUGUAUAUGUUUCCAGGAUGUGUUUUCUUUUGUUUUUAUAAUAAUUAAUUUGUAGGGGGUAGAGAUAGUGGCAAUCCACAGAAGGGGAAAUUCAACAUUAUCAUCAGAAGGAGGACUUGUAAUGGAGUAUGAAUUCUUUCCUACAGAGAAAAGUGGCAGAUCAAACACUACAAGUUAUGUGGAGAAUGAUAUGAUGAUGAAGAAAAUGAUGACUACUUCAUCAGAAUCUUCUUCAGUUGCAGCAGCAGUGGGUAAUGGUGAAGCUUCUUGUGUCACUACAAUAUCCUGGGUUGAUACUACUACUACAACUACACCCACCAGUUCUAUUGAUCUAUCACUCAAACUUUCUUUCUAGGUUUUUUUACAGAUUAUAUUAAAAAAAGAGUUGUUUAGUUUGUCUUUUUUCUAUAUGGUUUCUGAUUUUUGUCUUUUCACACUUGUGUGAAAUUUAUCUGAUCAAAGACCCAAACACUACUUUAUAUUUACCCUUUUGGUUUAUUUAGCUAGCUACCUGCUAUUACCUCUCCAAAAUGGAGCAAUACAUUUUCUGGGUUUUUUGUUAUCUCUCUUUCUCUAUACUCUUGGGAUUGUGUCAGUGAGAUGGAGAUGCUUCAGUAAAUUUCUCAGCUUUUCUGAUCGUAUUUAGUACUGUAAUAUUUUGCUUCCCAUUUGGAACUCAUGAUUUUUAUUGUUAUAAUAAUGCGUAUAUAGUUAGUAUCCAUACGACUGGCUUUAAACUUGCUCUUAUAUUUAGGUAAUUAGAAAUCUAUGAAAUUAUACUUGAAUCAGUCUCUUAUGGAGGAAAAAAUAUUUCAGAAAUGAGUUUCUUAUAUAUGAAUACAUAUCUGAUAUAUCAAGAAUAGACUUAAUUAAGAUUGCUAUAGAUCAAUUACCUUUGCAACUUCAGUUUUUACGUGGUAAACAUCAAAUGUUUUGACUGUUUUCAUAACUAUUAAAUUAUCUCAUUUCUUUGAUUCCUUUUAUUGUGAAACUAUUAGCUUUGUUAAUUAAAUCCUGUAACUAUACAUUUUAGCUCCAGGAAUCAAGGGUCUAUAUCCAAUAUGGAAACCCCUUCGGUUUUUUCUUCCUAUUUCCUUUUGUCCAACUUGAUCUGUUGCGCCUGUAAGCCUAAAGUUUCAAGGCAACAGCCUAGGCUAUUUUACAAAUUAAUAAAGGGAGUAGAAAUUAAACUUAACUGAGUGUUUUUCAGUGAAAGCUCCCAGUGCCAGCAUAAUCUACCAAAACCCUAGCAGCUUUUUUUGGGGGGGGGGGGGGGUUAAAUGAAGUCAGAGGCGUUCAUCUGAACCCAGUACUUUCGAUUCAGAAUAUAAAUUUAUGUAGUGUAGUGUGGUGAGGUUUUGCCUCACAGAAAGAGUGGGAAAUUGGGAGAAAAAAAUAAAGAAUUUCGAAUCUAAAAAUAAAAAGAGAUUUUUUUUCCAAACGACAAAGGAACUUACGGGCGGGGCAUUUUCGGGGACUAGCCCGCUUCCCAUUACUCAAUAGGGCAAUUCCUUGCAAAUAAUUAAGGGAGCCAUUGAAAGGUGACUAAAACACUAGAAACGGAAAAGUGUAAAAAUUCACUAAAAUUACAACACAUAUUGGGUCUGAACCCAUAACUUUAAAAAUAUAGUAAUAGUUUCAAUACUAAGAAGCGUAAUAGAAUUAAAAUUCUGGAUCCGCGGGUAGGUUAACUUUUCCCUAAGGAAAAUUUCCUUAAAAGGGGUGGCCACUAAACCACAAGGAAUACAUUUGAGAAGUAUCUGUUUGUGAGAGUCAAGCAAAUAUAAUUAACCAAACCAAAAGAAGAAGUGCUUUAUGGCAGUGUAAAAAGUGAGUAACAAAAAAGGAAGGCCAAAGAGCAAUAAUAGGUAGUCAGUAGACCGUAUACAUGUAAAUCCAUGAAAGUAGUGUGUAUCAGCUCUUCUUGUUGAAUCCACCAGCACUGCACUGCUGGCUCAUCUACUGUAAUCUGUAGCUGCUGCUUUUUUUGGCUGGUUAUUUUCCUGCAACUCACAGCUCUUGCCCCAGCGCCCAGUAGUAGUACCCUAGUGUAAUGGGUGUUAAUAUGGAGCAGUGACACUCUCAGUAAAACUUAAGAGCUGCUAAAGCAUUUUCAGUAUGUUAUUUUUGUAUGAUCAGUUUAACUUUUAUAUAGUAUUUGAUGUUGAAAAAUUAUGUAACACCCAAAAAAUAAUUAACACAUAACUACAUUCAACGGUCUAUUAUAAGUAAAACUAGAUAGUGUCCUAAAAAAUAGUUUGAAUUAUGAGUUACAACCGGUAAUUAAAAUACGUGAAUAAUGUGAGUUUUCUUUAUAUUAGGUAUACAAGUUAACUCAUAUUUUAUUGGAUGCUCAUAAAAUUUUAUGUGUAAUUAAUCCGUGAUUGGGCUGUAUUUAACCACAGAAGUUUCUUGAGCUGAUGACCUUUCGAAAACAGUCACUCUACAUCCACAAAGGUAGGGGGUUAGAUCUGCAUACACUUUUACCCUCUCCAAAUCACGCAAUAUGAAAAUACAUUGGGUAUGUCGUUGUUGUUGUUGUUGUUGUUUACGAACCUCGUCGUAUCAAAACAUGAGUAAAGUACUACUGUUAUAUUUUUCAAAUGACUUUAUAUGUACUUCAAUUACCCGUUUGAACUAAUAUUCAUCAUAUUUUUUCCGUUAGUCUAAUUUCACAAAAAUUGCAUUUUCCUUAACAUUUAAGGUCUUUCUGUCUAAACAUAGUACACCUUAAUUAACUUCAUUCCUUCCUUUCGUGCAUUGACCAAAUUCAUUGUGCUUUGGUUGCAAUAGAAUGGUUUACUUCAAAAGGCAACAGUGAGAAAAGAAAAAAAGAAAGAAACGAAGCCAUGAUAAGCAUAAUAUUCUGGAAAUGCUUUAUAAGCAAGUGAAUAGGAUUUUAGUGAUUGAAUUAUGCAACUGUAUUUCAUUCAUUUUAACUUAAUUAGCAGAUUUACGCGAUUGUUAAAGAAAAUAUACAUAUGAGUUAUUUACAGUAUUUGUUUGAGAAACAAGUGGGUAUAUAUUUUGAUUUUUCUGUCUCAGAAAGUUAGCGUAUAGGAUUUUAAAUUGUACUCUAGAAGAGUAAAACUGGAUAACUAACAACCCAAAGUAUUCAUGCCAAACAUUUCUAGAGGGGGCCAGGGAAUGUAUAUGCUAUCGAAUAAAAGUAUCAGACUUCUUUUAGGAUUUUCUCUAUUUUCUCCAGGUUCUACAAAAAUUUGUGAAUUAUUGUACUGUACCACGAUAUUUUGGAUUUAGCCUACAAAACCCAAAUAAUCAUUCAAACAAUAUCUAGAACAAUAAUGUAAAGAAAAAUAUUGAUUCUAGAAAGCAUUAUUGACUUGUUGUUUCUAUUUGACCAUCUCAAACACUUAGAACCUAAGGUUCAUCAUUAGUUUGACUAUGCAUAGAAUUAUAACCUCCAUCCAAAUCUUUUAUGCUGGGUAUUCAUGGUUCGGUUUGGAUCAGUUUUUCCCUAAAAAGAAAUCAAAUCAAGUAAAUCGGUUUUUCAAAUAUUGGGACCAAACCAAACCAAUUAAGUCGGAUUUUUAUGGAUUCUAUUUUUUAUGAUUUUUGUCGGUUUUUUGGUUUUUUUGGUUAUUUAUCGGAUUUUUUUUGAAUAUGAAACAUACACUAUCAUACACAUAUUUCGCCGACUACAUUUUCAACGUAACACCAUCAAACCGAUUGCUCUUUGAGAAAUCUAUCAUUUACCAAGAUAUAUUGAUGAUAAUUGAAUCAAAUAGUGAUAAAUAGUUUAAUUACUCAAUUAAAAAUUAAUUAUUUUAAACAUGAAAUAAAUUCUUGUACUUAGCAAAAGAAAACUACCAAUCAAACUAGAAUGUAAAGGAAAAGAAUUAGAUUAUUAUAAUAGCAAAGAACUAGACCAAAAAUACAAACAACUAAUAGAUACCAUAAAAUCUUAGAAACGUUAUAUUAAAAUAUACAUAUAUAUAGGUGUAUGAAUAAAUUUAAAUAGCUUUUCUAUAGUUGGUUUGGUUCGAAUUUUUCGAUUAUUUUUUGAUUAAAAAUAAAACCAAAUCUAAAAAGUAUCGAUUUUUAUUAAAAAAACUAAUCUCAUGUAUCCCUUUCUUUAUUAUUAUAUACAUUUCAUAACAAAAUUGUCAACCCAAACGCGUCAAGUCUCAAUCCAUUGACCCUACUACUAACGGAAUAUCCAUUAUCGUUGUUCCAUAAGUUAAAAGAGUACAAAAUAACGUGGACGGCAGGAUUCGAACCUGCGCGGGCAAAGCCCACAUGAUUUCUAGUCAUGCCCGAUAACCACUCCGGCACGUCCACCUUCUGCUGAUGAAAGGAGUUUUUUCUAGUUAAUUCACUGAGAAAGUCGAAAAGUGAACACAUUCUCAGUUCCCAUCAUCAACAUCAAAAAGAGGAAUAUAACUCUCUCCUAAGCAGGAGCGAUAAACAAGCAUCAACCCUCUCUCAAACAAAGGUCAACCCAAACCCCCAAACUUUCCCCAAAAAGAAAUGCAGCAACAACCAACCCCCACCCCCACCCCCACCUCCGAUUCCGAUCUCCCCCGCCUCGCUAACAUCAAAAUCAAAUCCUCUUCCCCCCGUUUCCCACCUCCCACCACCCCUUCCACCACCGAUACCCCCACCGCUGGUGCUCAACGCAAGAUCGGCAUCGCCGUCGAUCUAAGCGACGAGUCCGCUUUCGCCGUUAAGUGGGCCGUCCAUCAGUACCUCCGUCCAGGUGACGCCGUCAUCCUUCUCCACGUCCGUCCCACUUCCGUCCUCUACGGCGCCGAUUGGGGCUCCGUUGAUCUCUCCAUCGUCGAUACCGAAAACGAAGAGUCUCAGCGAAAACUCGAGGAUGAUUUCGACACGUUUACUACUACUAAAGUCUCGGACAUAUCUCAGCCGUUAGUUGAUGCU